UGCCAGCAGCCGCGGUAAUACGGGGGGCGCAAGCGUUAUUCGGAAUUACUGGGCGUAAAGCGCGCGUAGGCGGAUUGGAAAGUUAGGGGUGAAAUCCCAGGGCUCAACCCUGGAACUGCCUCUAAAACUCCUGGUCUAGAGUUCGAGAGAGGUGAGUGGAAUUCCGAGUGUAGAGGUGAAAUUCGUAGAUAUUCGGAGGAACACCAGUGGCGAAGGCGGCUCACUGGCUCGAUACUGACGCUGAGGUGCGAAAGUGUGGGGAGCAAACAGGAUUAGAUA
rnacentral:rRNA from 1 species